GUUGAGUGAAUGCCAAGUGAAUAAUGCCUUUUGGGGUGUGGCUUGUAUUUCUAGAAAAUUCUGUAUUAUAUUGAGUCAGAAUUGAUCCCUGUUAACUUCCAGCAGUCACUUUAAGUCCACUCCUUUGGGUGAUAUUGAGAACAUUGUAUUUGCUAUGAAUAAACUUUUUUUUUUUUUUACUUUGUUAUGUUUCCCACUCUACUAUAAAAAAAUAGUUAAUAGUAGAGUCUCUCAAAGAACAGGGUGCAUAUCACCAAGCAUGUACAUAAUUAGGCAUGUACAUAAUUCUUUUUUUUUCCUUUUGGUACUAGGGAUUAAGCUCAGGGGUGCUCUAUGGCUGAGCCACAUAUUUAGCACCCCCCUCCCCCUUUUAUUUUCAGACAGGGUCUUGCUAAAUGGCAAGACUGGCCUUGAACUUUUGAUCCUCCUGCUGCAGCCUCCCAAGUUGUGGGCCACCACACCUGGCUAGGCAUAAUUCUUUUUACAUACAAUUUGUAAGUGUUUGAAAACAAUUGUUAAGCCUGUACAGGCUUUUUAAAGCUAAUCUUCCUUUUUCAGAACUUCCUUAUGCAGAUUUUUCAAUGUCAUUAUUUCCCUCAUAACAGGCCUUUAUUUUUCUCUUUCCUUCCUACUCUGUCACCAAGAACUCAACACAGUAUUUAAAAUGUCAUCAAUGGCAAGAUAGGAGAAUCACCUUCUCCUUUGUUCUAAACACCAUUUUCCUGCUAGUACAACAUAAUAUUGGAUUCCUUGCCACAUGCUGGUUUCCGUUGCAACCCACAUCUUUUUCACCAAGACUCUAUAAAUCACACCUUUCCUUUAUGCCUUGUGAUUUGUUUUUACUUGAAGUUCACCUUCUUAGACUUAGCUUGCCUAUGGGGACAGCAUGGGCUCUGUUGUGCCAACCUUCUAAUUCUGUGUCUAGCUUCACGUUAUUUACAACCAUAUGGUCCCAUGGCUUGGUCACUUGACUCAUUCAUGCAAGUGUUUAGCAGAUCAGAGAGCCUGGCUGCUCAAUGUUGGAAACCACCCUCGAAGAGUGUCCACAGAAACAGCUUGGAGGUCUUAUCAGAUGCCUUCAUGAAAUUCAGAAAAUCUUUCUGUCUCAGAAUAAGGAAAAAGACGGCACAAUGACUAUGACCGGAUUUGGUCUCAGGGAUCUCCACUGGUAUCUGUUGACUUCCAUUUCCUUUCCCAGAGUAAACAAACCUCCUAUUCAUCUUCACUCUGCCAGAGAUGAACAUAAAGCAAGAGUAGCNCAGUCUUGAUUCUGUCUGCAGAGAACAGGUGCUUUCUAGACUGCCAAGCCAGCAUGUGGCUUUAUGCUCGGAGCACAGGUCCAGAGGUCAGAAAGAGAAUAAUGAUAACUGUGCAGCCCUGGCAUACAUGAGACUCCAACUUCUUUGAACCCUUCCAGCAGAGAAAAGUUCUCUGUCUCUCCCAGAGUGGUUUGGGAGUCAUUGACCUUAUUUUGUUAGUGUAAACAUAUAUUAUAAAACUUUAAGAAGACAAUGUGUUUUGUAGUUUUAGCAGACAGGAAGGCCAUUAGAGAUCAAGGAUGUUAAUGGAGUACCAAUCAUGCUACUCUGGAACAUUUAAAACAAAGACUAUGAUUAGAUGCUACCUUUAAAACUAAAAGAAGUGAAGUAUAUUUCUAUGUUUUAGACUUGUCCGUUUUGAACAAAGUUUCACUUUUUUUUUUUAAACAUGAAGUUAGUAACCUCAGGAAUGAGUUCUUUUUAGGAUUUUGGAUCUCUUGUCUGGUCCUCUUUGAGUCAGCCACAUUGCUAGGGACGAUUCUGCUCCUAAGAUCCACCCUGCUGGUGGAAUGAUGAGACAGCCCCCCACACACACACACCAUCGGGGAGCUGGGCAUAUCUUUGCGUAUGUUUACCCCAAAUGUGGA
rnacentral:lncRNA from 1 species